rnacentral:lncRNA from 1 species
GGCAGAAGGUGAAAUCUGUGUAUUCCUGGGGCCCCGACUUUGGAUGUUCUUGCAGAUACCUUAGCAUAACUAACAGAGAUCAUAAUGAAAACACUGGCAUUGUGUGCAUUUUAAACCAUCAUUGUCACUUGUCAAGCCCUACAGUCAUGCCUGAAGAAGGCAGGCAGCCUCAGCAACUGUACGUGACGGGGCAUGCUUGCCUUCUGCAUGUAGCAAGAACCUUGCAGACAGCUGAAAUCUGAGGCAUUCACACAGACAGGCUAAAAGCUCAGGAAGACUGCAUGAGGGUUAUUUUAAAAAGUGCUAAGGAAACAGUGCUCCCAUUUAAAUAGAUGAAGAUUCCCUUCCUGUUUUACUAUAAAUAUUUCCUUUUCUCUUUCAGUCCAGAACUAGUGCUUUUAACCUUUGGAAGAUGUAAAAAAAAAAAAAAAAAAUGCCUUCUUUAAAGGAAACAUUUCUAUGGGUUUAUCAGUAUUACUGCCUAAUGUGAGAAGCAUUUUCACACCUAUUAUUCAUGAACUGAGGUGGCAAGAGGAGGGAGCAGUUCCUGCCAGGUGCGGUUAACAAAUAUGUCACACGCAUCAUCUAUUACAUAGGUGAUAUCUCACGUAAUCCUCAGAAUACCCCUUUUGAAGUCGCUUCUAUUAGUAUCCUCCUUUGACAGACGAGGAAAUGAAGCACAGAGAAGGUCAAGGUCCAGGCUGGAAGGGGACCACUUCGAAUCUUGAAUGCAGGGGCAAACAGCUCAAGACACCAUGGCUGAUGAAGACGCUAUGUACACGCUUUCCAGUAUGAAAACCAAUGAGCUACAUGGGGCUGGCGAACACUUGAAAGGUGGUGAGUUAGAGUUGAGAUGUGCUGGACGUGUAAAAUAAUACAUCCUGGAGUUUGAAGACUUUUGUAUAAAAUUACUUAAGAUAUCUGAAUUUUUCAAAUGUCGAUUUUUUGUUGAAAUGAUAUUUGAACAGAUUGGAUUAAAUAAAAUGUAUUAUUAAAAUUAA